rnacentral:rRNA from 1 species
CACUGCCGAGAAAAGCCUCUAGAUAGAAAAUAGGUGCCCGUACCGCAAACCGACACAGGUAGUCAAGAUGAGAAUUCUAAGGUGAGCGAGCGAACUCUCGUUAAGGAACUCGGCAAAAUGACCCCGUAACUUCGGGAGAAGGGGUGCUCUUUAGGGUUAACGCCCAGAAGAGCCGCAGUGAAUAGGCCCAAGCGACUGUUUAUCAAAAACACAGGUCUCUGCUAAACCGUAAGGUGAUGUAUAGGGGCUGACGCCUGCCCGGUGCUGGAAGGUUAAGAGGAGUGGUUAGCUUCUGCGAAGCUACGAAUCGAAGCCCCAGUAAACGGCGGCCGUAACUAUAACGGUCCUAAGGUAGCGAAAUUCCUUGUCGGGUAAGUUCCGACCCGCACGAAAGGCGUAACGAUUUGGGCACUGUCUCAACGAGAGACUCGGUGAAAUCAUAGUACCUGUGAAGAUGCAGGUUACCCGCGACAGGACGGAAAGACCCCGUGGAGCUUUACUGUAGCCUGAUAUUGAAAUUCGGCACAGCUUGUACAGGAUAGGUAGGAGCCUUUGAAACGUGAGCGCUAGCUUACGUG